GUAUGGUUUGUAAACUGCGAUUGAAUGGGAGAAAACCCGAGUACGUGUACUCGGCUGAUAGUACCAUUAGAAUAAGCAUCGGCUAACUUCGUGCCAGCAGCCGCGGUAAGACGAAGGAUGCAAGCGUUAUCCGGAUUCAUUGGGUUUAAAGGGAGCGUAGGCGGACUUGUAAGUCAGUGGUGAAAUCUGUGGGCUUAACCCACAAACUGCCAUUGAUACUGCAGGUCUAGAGUACAGUUGCCGUUGGCGGAAUAUGACAUGUAGUGGUGAAAUACUUAGAUAUGUCAUAGAACACCGAUUGCGAAGGCAGCUAACGAAGCUGUAACUGACGCUGAGGCUCGAAAGUGCGGGGAUCAAACAGGAUUAGAUACCCUGGUAGUCCGCACUGUAAACGAUGAUUACUCGUUGCUGGGGAGCAAUUUCCAGUGACCAAGCGAAAGCGAUAAGUAAUCCACCUGGGGAGUACGCCGGCAACGGUGAAACUCAAAGGAAUUGACG
rnacentral:rRNA from 1 species